rnacentral:tRNA from 1 species
GUGAGCGUGGCCAAGUGGUUAAGGCAUUGGUCUGUGACGCCAACACUCGCGGGUUCAAAUCCCGUCGCUCACC